CGGCGUCACUGCGCCCAAGUUAAGGUAAGAUUUGGGAGCGGAGUUCUCCUAUGAGUGCCCCCUCACCCUGCCUGUCUUGGUCUAAUCAAUAAAGGAAACAUAGGAGCGGCUCCAUAUUGAGAGAGGUGAGAUGCUUGUUUAUUAUACCUGUUGCUGUGGUCUUUCCUUCUGUUCCACAGGCAGUUGACCUCAGCCAUAGACUUGUGAGAGGCCUUCCUAUAUAAAGCUUCACUUUGGCG